UUUUGGGUCGAGUUGGAAAGACAAAGGCAAAGACGAAAGAGCAGGCUGUCCCAGAGGAAAGAAGUGGGACAAGGGAAAAUGACCAAACACUUCCUGAAAUUUUUGCACCAGUAGCAAAGAAAAGCAAACCAUCACUGCUGGAUGAAGUUAGGACACCCUUCGAGGAGCUCAGUCAAAAUCGAAUAAACCUGUGAAAAAAGAUAAUGACGAGAUGCCCACAAGCCGACAUUUCCGCUUCUUACUACGCGAAGAUGUUAUUAUUUCUUCAACAAAGAAUUAAUUUUAACGAAUUUAGACUUUUCUGUGGAAAGAAAUCUAGAAAAAAUUAUCUAAAAUACACAAAAUGUGUCUAAUGAGGGGGCCCCUAACCUCUGACAUUUUUACAAUUCUAAAACUGGUCCAAUUUUCUACUUUCCUACGAACUAAAUCUAUUUUUAGACCUCUUCUGAUCAUCGGGUUGUAACAUCUAUCUCUUUAGAAUGGGUAUGACAAAAGGCAAGGAGAUUGUGCAAAGAAAUAUUAUGCACAUUCCACACCGGACUAACCAGAGUGAGCAGUGUUCGGUUUCUUAUAUUUGAAAUCAAACGUGUUUUGGUCUUUGAUUCA